rnacentral:rRNA from 1 species
UAGGGAAUCUUCGGCAAUGGGGGGAACCCUGACCGACCAACGCCGCGUGAGUGAAGAAGGUUUUCGGAUCGUAAAGCUCUGUUGUUAUGGAAGAACGAGUGUGAGAAUGGAAAGUUCAUACUGUGACGGUACUUAACCAGAAAGGGACCGCUCACUACGUUCCAGCAGCCGCGGUAAUACGUAGGUCCCGAGCGCUGUCCGGAUUUAUUGGGCGUAAAGCGCGCGCAGGCGGUUAGAUAAGUCGGAAGUUAAAGGCAGUGGCUCAACCAUUGUAUGCUUUGGAAACUUUUUAACUUGAGUGCAGAAGAGGAGAGUGGAAUUCCAUGUGUAGCGGUGAAAUGCGUAGAUAUAUGGAGGAACACCGGUGGCGAGAGCGGCUCUCUGGUCUGUAACUGACGCUGAGGCUCGAAAGCGUGGGGAGCGAACAGG